GUUCUCCUCAGCACAGACCCGAGAGCAUCGCGAGGGCGGAGCUGCGUUCUCCUCUGCACAGACUUCGGGGGUACUGCGAAGGCGGAGCAGAGUUCUUCUCAGGGUCUCCCUCUGUUGUCCAAGGCUGGAGUGUAGUAGUGCUAUCGCAGCUGACUGCAGCCUCAACCUUCCAGGCUGAAGCGAUCCUCCUACCUCAACCUCCCACGUGGCUGAGACUACAGGUGCUUGCCACUAUGCCCAACUAAUAUUUGGAAUUUUCGUAUAUGUGGAUUCCAGAGGGGUGACAGCGAACCGUGAGUGGGACCAUCCAGUUUCAGGAAAACAAGCUUAACACGCCCACUGAUUCGACAUUAUGCUCCUACCUCCCGGCAGCCUCUCCAGGCCCAGAACUUUCUCCAGUCAGCCUCUACAGACCAAGCUCGUGACUCACAAUGGCCUAUUUAGGCCCAUACCCUAUGUCACGGCAGUCUCCGCAGAUGAGGCUACUGCCUCACAACAGCCUCCACAGGCACAGCUCCAUCGUUACAAUGGCCUCUUUAGACCCAGCUCCUGCCUCCCAGCCUUCUCUCCAGGCCCUGAACUUUCUCCGGUCUCCCUCUGUUGUCCAAGGCUGGAGUGUAGUAGCGCUAUCGCAGCUGACUGCAGCCUCAACCUUCCAGGCUGAAGCGAUCCUCCUACCUCAACCUCCCACGUGGCUGAGACUACAGGUGCUUGCCACUAUGCCCAACUAAUAUUUGGAAUUUUCGUAUACGUGGAUUCCAGAGGGGUGACAGCGAAACGUGGGACCAUCCAGUUUCAGGAAAACAAGCUUAACACGCCCACUGAUUCGACAUUAUGCUCCUACCUCCCGGCAGCCUCUCCAGGCCCAGAACUUUCUCCAGUCAGCCUCUACAGACCAAGCUCGUGACUCACAAUGGCCUAUUUAGGCCCAUACCCUACGUCACGGCAGUCUCCGCAGAUGAGGCUACUGCCUCACAACAGCCUCCACAGGCACAGCUCCAUCGGAUAUUGGAUAUAUCCAAUAUCCACAGCCCACAGCUUCCUCAAGCCAAGCUCCCCAGGCCCAGGUCAGGCCUCACGGUGGCCUCUCCAGGAUGAGCUCCUGCCCUCCGAUGGCACCUGCAGGCCCCAAAUGGUCUCCGGUCGGUGGGCUCCUCCACGCCAAGCUUGGGCCCCCCGGCGACCUCUGCAGGCCCAAGUUGUCCUGAAGUUGGCAUCUCCCGGCCGUGCCUCCCAGCAAGUAAGCAAGCUCUUUUGGCUCAACUCCUGCCCAGCUCCCAACCGCCUUUGUGGGCCCCGAACUUUCUCCAGCCAAGUUCUUUGGGCCUAAUUCCUGCCGCCCGGUGGCCUGUACGGGCCCAGCAAUGGUUGGAGAACAGCCUAUGCAGGUCCCCGCUCUUGCCUCCCAGGGGCCUCUCCAGGCCCAGCUCUUGACCCCACGGCGGCCUCUUAGGGCCAAGUCCCUGCCUGCCUCCCAGCAGCCCGCGUGCGGCCCAGCUCCUCCCUCACGGUGGCCUGUUGAUGCCCAUGCCUCUGGCACCCUGCCCAGAGGCAUGAGCCCCUGCCUCACACCGGCCCCUCCCACGCUGAGAGAGGUCAGCGUGAGCCCUUGCCUCACACCGGCCCCUCCCACGCUGAGAGAGGUCAGAGUGAGCCCCAUGCCUCACACCGGCCCCUCCCACGCUGAGAGAGGUCAGCGUGAGCCCCUUGCCUCACACCGGCCCCUCCCACGCUGAGAGAGGUCAGAGUGAGCCCUUGCCUCACACCGGCCC